rnacentral:rRNA from 1 species
UGGGGAAUAUUGGACAAUGGGCGCAAGCCUGAUCCAGCUAUGCCGCGUGGAUGAAGAAGGCCUUCGGGUUGUAAAGUCCCUUCGUUGGUGAAGAUAAUGACGGUAACCAAAGAAGAAGCCCCGGCUAAUUUCGUGCCAGCAGCCGCGGUAAUACGAAAGGGGCUAGCGUUGUUCGGAAUUACUGGGCGUAAAGCGCACGUAGGCGGCCUUGUAAGAUGGGGGUGAAAUCCCUGGGCUCAACCCAGGAACUGCCUUCAUGACUGCAAAGCUCGAGGAUGUGAGAGGUUGGCGGAAUUCCGAGUGUAGAGGUGAAAUUCGUAGAUAUUCGGAAGAACACCAGUGGCGAAGGCGGCCAACUGGGCACAUUCUGACGCUGAGGUGCGAAAGCGUGGGGAGCAAACAGGAUUGGAUACCCUGGUAGUCCACGCCAUAAACGAUGGGGGCUAGUUGUCGGCGCGCUUGCGCGUCGGUGACGCAGCUAACGCUUUAAG